CAGCCGCCGCGGUAAUACGAAGGGGGCUAGCGUUGCUCGGAAUUACUGGGCGUAAAGGGCGCGUAGGCGGACAGUUCAGUCGGGGGUGAAAGCCCGGGGCUCAACCUCGGAAUUGCCUUCGAUACUGGCUGUCUUGAGUAAGAGAGUGGUGUGUGGAACUCCGAGUGUAGAGGUGAAAUUCGUAGAUAUUCGGAAGAACACCAGUGGCGAAGGCGACACACUGGCUCAUUACUGACGCUGAGGCGCGAAAGCGUGGGGAGCAAACAGGAUUAGAUACCCGCGUAGUCCCUGUCUCUUAUAC
rnacentral:rRNA from 1 species